GGCGAUCGAAAAGAUUAAGCCAUGCAUGUAUAAGUUUAAUCGUUUAUCGAGAAACCGCGAACGGCUCAUUACAAUGGCCAUGAUUUACUUGAUCUUGAUUAUCUAAAUGGAUAACUGUGGAAAAGCUAGAGCUAAUACAUGCACCAAAGCUUUGUCCUCUCGGAAAAGCGCAUUUAUUAGAACAAAACCACGCGGCUUCGGCUGCUUCUUGUUGACUCAGAAUAACUAAGCUGACCGCAUGGCCUUGUGCCGGCGGCGUGUCUUUCAAGCGUCCACUUUAUCAACUUGACGGGAGCAUAAUCGACUCCCGUGGUGGUGACGGAUAACGGAGGAUCAGGGCUCGACUCCGGAGAAGGGGCCUGAGAAAUGGCCACUACGUCUAAGGAUGGCAGCAGGCGCGCAAAUUACCCACUCUCGGCUCGAGGAGGUAGUGACGAGAAAUAACGAGACUGUUCUCUUUGAGGCCGGUCAUCGGAAUGGGUACAAUUUAAACCCUUUAACGAGUAUCAAGCAGAGGGCAAGUCUGGUGCCAGCAGCCGCGGUAAUUCCAGCUCUGCUAAUACAUAGAAUUAUUGCUGCGGUUAAAAAGCUCGUAGUUGGAUUCGUAUCGGUAUCCUGGAACCCUCCGGGUGUUUCUGGGUGUUAUCGAUUUAUCGUAAUGUUCGGUUUUGAGUCCUUAACAGGAUUCUUAACAGGCAUUGCAAGCUUACUUUGAACAAAUCAGAGUGCUUCAAACAGGCGUUUUCGCUUGAAUGAUCGUGCAUGGAAUAAUAGAAAACGAUUUCGGUUCAGUUUAUUGGUUUUACGGACUGAGAUAAUGGUUAACAGAGACAAACGGGGGCACUUGUAUGGCCCCGUGAGAGGUGAAAUUCUUGGACCGUGGCCAGACAAACUACAGCGAAAGCAUUUGCCAAGAAUGUUUUUAUUAAUCAAGAACGAAAGUCAGAGGUUCGAAGGCGAUCAGAUACCGCCCUAGUUCUGACCGUAAACGAUGCCAACUAGCGAUCCGCCGAUGGAAAUUAUAUUGCCUUGGUGGGGAGCUUCCCGGAAACGAAAGUCUUCCGGUUCCGGGGGAAGUAUGGUUGCAAAGCUGAAACUUAAAGGAAUUGACGGAAGGGCACCACCAGGAGUGGGGCCUGCGGCUUAAUUUGACUCAACACGGGGAAACUCACCCGGCCCGGACACUGUGAGGAUUGACAGAUUGAUAGCUUUUUCAUGAUUCAGUGGAUGGUGGUGCAUGGCCGUUCUUAGUUCGUGGAGUGAUUUGUCUGGUUUAUUCCGAUAACGAGCGAGACUCUAACCUACUAAAUAGUUGGUACAUACUCUUAGUGUAUACAGCUUCUUAGAGGGAUUUGCGGCGUUCAGCCGAAAGAAAUUGAGCAAUAACAGGUCUGUGAUGCCCUUAGAUGUCCGGGGCUGCACGCGCGCUACACUGGCAAAAUCAACGUGCUUGUCCUACCCUGAAAGGGGCGGGUAAACCAUUGAAAAUUUGCCGUGAUUGGGAUCGGAAAUUGCAAUUAUUUUCCGUGAACGAGGAAUUCCAAGUAAGUGCGAGUCAUCAGCUCGCGUUGAUUACGUCCCUGCCCUUUGUACACACCGCCCGUCGCUGCCCGGGACUGAGCCAUUUCGAGAAAUUUGGGGACCGUUGAUUUAAUUUUUCUAAAUUACUUUGAUGGAAACCAAUUUAAUCGCAGUGGCUUGAACC
rnacentral:rRNA from 1 species